UAACUACUUCAUCAGACAGCGGUGCUCAAACUUUAGUAACCCCAUGACCCCCAUUUUGAUUUAAAAUUUUGCCAUGGACGCUCAAGCC